rnacentral:lncRNA from 1 species
UCCAACUUCGCCUGACUGAUUUCUCAUGGUUCCCUCGGUGGCAGCCCCAGGCCGAGUCCGUCAGCCUAGGUUAGACUCUGGCGGGGCAGAAGGAGAGCUUUGCUUCGGUGUGCUGGGGAGCGAGCUCACUUGGCAUAAGCAUUUUUUUUUUUUUUUUUUGAGACGGAGUUUCGCUCUUGUUGCCCAGGCUGGAUUGCAAUGAUGUGAUCUCGGCUCACUGCAACCUCCACCUCCUGGGUUCGAGCGACUCUCCUGCCUCAGCCACCUGAGUAGCUGGAAUUACAGGCGCCCGCCACCACGCCCAGCUAAUUUUUUUGUGUUUUUAGUAGAGACAGGUUUUCACCGUAUUGGCCAGGCUGGUCUCAAACUCCUGUCUUCAAGUGAUCCGCCCGCCUUGGCCUCCCAAAGUGCUGGGAUUACAAGUGUGAACCACCACACUCGGCCGGCAUAAGCAUUUUAAGCCUCCUGGUGAUAGAACUUAGAAGAUGCUUACUAAUUGCACCAUCUAGCACUUAGAGGAUAAAAGAUAUUUGAUGUGGAGUCUGAAAAUCUGGGUUCCAGCCCCCAUUCACUGUCCACUGACCCUGAACAAGAGACAGCCUGCCCUGGACUUCCAGGUUGAUGGAAUGAGCUACGGUACUAUUCCUCCCCACUCACAGGGCUACUGGGAGGGUAAAACUGGACUCGAGGUUGAUGGAAUGAGCUAAGGGACUGUUCCUCCGCGACUGUUCCUCCGCACUCACAGGGCUACUGGAAGGGUAAAAUGCUCAAGGUGAGUGAAGUAGCUUGCAGGUGGCAAAGGGCAUGUGAAAGUUCUUUGGGACCAGGUUUUCACAUUGAGGGACAUUUUGGACCUCUGUUAUCUCCUCUCCUCUGUCUUCACCUGCUCUCUAAAACCUGGUUACCUCAUGGAAGCCAAGCAGGAAUAGCUCGAGACUGCAUAUAAGCUGCAUUGACUGACUUAAUCCUGCACCCAGCCUGGUUCCAUCUUCACUUCCAGAGAGGUGGUGUCUGCUGGCUCUGUUCCACGCAUCUGUGCCUCCUCCAAGGGCCAGAAGGUCACACAGGGAGCCUGGGAGAGAGGUUGUUUGUAGGGCAACACCUUUCUUUGGUUUGGUUGUUUAGUUAAACAACACACAUCACCAUGGUGCGGGCAAAACACAAACACGCUAUUCCUCUAUUCUAUUCUCGUCCAUUCCCAAGGCCUACAGCCGCCCACGAGCAGCCACCAAGGCACGCACCCCCAGGCUCCCGAGCUCAGAAGGGCCUGUGCGUCCGUCAAAUCUCUGCUGCGGACGUCUUGAAAUCCUUAAUACUUUCUGAACGAGGAGCUCCGCGUUUUCAUUUCGCACUGGGCCCUGCAGAGUCUGUCCUGCCUGCCCACUCCUUCAGCCAAGGUUCCGGCACAUCGCAGACUUUGUCUGGGGCUCUGCAGGGCUGAGGCUCAUCAACAGGAGAGAACUUUGGAGCAGCAGAAGGAGAUAGUAGAGGAACAGCCAAGCAGGUGGAGGAUUAGGUCUGGGACACGGAGAGGGUGUCCCCUCUUCAUCCCCAGGUUCUUCCUUCCAAAUUGCAGGAAGGGACGGGUUGCACAUACUUGCUGCAUGCACUGCGUUGCAAAAGGCCGAGGAGAAUGAGGGGGAAACUGCUCCCUGGGAUUCUGAACCCCGCCCCCCCUCCCAGUGGAUGGCCAGCUGUAUUUCUGAAAUGCAACCAGGGGUGAAAAGAGAUUGUUCCAUGUUUGUCCUCAAAUACUUCACAGCAAUGUCACAUUAAUUUUUUUUCCCUUCCUGAGUUCCGUCUGGUUUGCAGCCAAGGAAAGGAGGCAGAGAGGGCGUGGGCAGCCCACGGGUCCAGCGAAGCAUCGCUGUGUCCGAGAGGCCCUGCCAGCUCGGGGCUCUGGGAAAGAGUAUGGACAUGCCCUCCCCAUGGGCACCAUCCCUUCCUCUGCCAGGGAGAACUUCCUCCUGGCUGCUGCUCCUGGCAAUGGCUUAUUUCCUCAACACAGUCAUUAAAAAUCACUCUUAGUAGUUCAAAUUUAGAAACAGGAACUGGCAUAUAUCUUAUUAAUUUCUAAAAUAGUAAGUACAAAACCAAAGAGAAACGGAAUUUUUACAACACUUUCUCCUUAUUUCCUAACAAGCCCAAAUGCAAAACACAAAUUUAUGAAUGGCAAAGGCUUCAAAUCAAACCUGAUGAUCUUUGACCUAGGGCACUGCCCAUAAUUUGCAGAUGAAACAAGAGAGGACAGAUCGGAGAGGUGGAGUAACUUACCAAAGAUCACACAGCCAGGGUGAGGAUCCAGUUCUUCUAGAUCUUGGGCCAGGAGAAAAGGAGAGGGAGCCUGACUCAAGCUACAGUCAUUGAGGUCAGAGAACCAAGGGUCACACCAGACAUCACGAAGAUCCAACUAGUGGCCGGAGAGAGUCACUGGGGGUGAUAACCAGGCCUGUCUCCCAGCCAGCGAGGGAGUCAGGGCCUCCCAACAGAGCUAAGCGGUGCCAAGGGACCAGGUCGAGGACAAAAGGUUUAUUUGAUGUGAGGCAUUAGCACCUACUAGCACCUUACUGUAGGGAGUUUUGUUGCAUUUUUUAAUUCAAAAUAUUUUAAAAAUAAUUUUAUUGAGCCGUAAUUCAUAUGCCAUAGAAUUCACCCAGGUAAACCGUACGAUCCAAUGGUGUUUAGUAUAGUCACAAAGUUACACAAUCAUUGCCACAGUCAAUUUUAUCUUUAUUAUUAUUAUUAGUUUUUCUUUCCAACUUUUGUUUUCGGUUCAGGGGGUACCUGUGCAGACUCGUUCCCUGAGUAAAUUGUGCAUCGUGGGAGUUUGGUGUACAGAUUAUUUCAUCACCCAGGAACCAGCAUGAGACGCAGUAGGUAGCGUUUUGAUCCUCACCCUCCUUCCACCGUCCACCCUCAAGUAGACUCCAGCACCUACUGUUCCUUUCUUUGUGUCCAUAUGUGCACAGGGUUUAGUUCUCACUUCUAAGUAAGAACAUGUGGUAUUUGGUUUUCUGUUCCUGCAUUAAUUCACUUAGGAUCAUGGCCUCCAGCUCCAUCCAUGUUGCUGCAAAGGGCAUGAUCGCGUUCUGUUUAUGGCUGCACAGUAUUCCAUGGCAUAUAUGGACCACAUUUUCUUCAUGCAGUCCACUGUUGAUGGGCAUCUAGCUUGAUUCCCUGCCUUUGUUACUGAGAAUAGUGCUGGGAUGAACAUACAAGUGCAUGUGUCUUUAUGAUAGAAGGAUUUAUAUUUCUAAAGGAUUUAUAUUUCUUUUCUUUUCUUUUUUCUUUUUUUUUUUUUUGAGAUGGAGUUUCGCUCAUGUUGCCCAGGCUGGAGUGCAAUGGCAUGAUCUCAGCUCACUGCAACCUCCACCUCCCAGGUUCAAGUGAUUAUCCUGCCUCAGCCUCCUGGGUAGCUGGGAUUACAGGCGUCCGCCAUCAAGCCCAGCUAAUUUUUUGUAUUUUUAGUAGAGACGGGAUUUCACCAUGUUGGUCAGGCUGGUCUUCAACUCCUGACCUCAGGUGAUCCACCUGCCUUGGCCUCCCAAAGUGCUGGGAUUACAGGCAUGAGUCACGGCACCCGGCCAGAAGGAUUUCUAUUUCUUUGGGUACAUACCACAGUCAAUUUUAGAACACGUUCAUCACUUCAAAAAGAUGCCCUGCACCCUCUAGGCAUCACCUCCUCAGCCCCACCAUUCCUUCCCCCAGCCCCUGGCACCACUAAGCUCCUUUCUGUCUCUAUGAAUUAGCCUAUUCUGGGCGCAUAGAUAGAAUCGUUCAGUAUGUGGCCUUUUGUGUCUGGCUUCUUUCAUCCAGCAUGAUAUCUUCAAGGUUCGUGUGUGUUGUGGCAUGUGUCAGAGCUUCCUGCCUUCUUAUGGCUAAUGUUCCAUUGUGCAGAUAUUCCAUUGCGCGAAUAUGUCCUAUGGGUAGAUGCUCUGUUUCUACCAAGGCCCAGCAGGCUGCCCAGGGAAGGGGCCCUGUGAAUGGAGUGCAAUUCUCUGCUGCACCUGUGCUGGCCUUGCUCCAGGUCUCUAGCCGUCGGCCCUGCAACACCCUCGUUGGUCGUGCUGGAGGCCCCCCCUGACAUCUUCCUCUUCCUCAACUACCUCUAGGGACGAGGAACCUGCCAAGUCCUAUGGUCCUGGCAAUAGGGUUGCUUGUGCCAGAGCCUCAACCUGCCACACAUUUCCUUUCUUUGAGCUCUGCUCAAAGCUAGCAGCCUUCCACUUCGCCUGAUUGGUGGGUCAGAGAGGUAUUCCAAGGUGCAGCACAUGCUGCCUUCAAAAUCCAAAAAGGCUGCCAAGCACUGUGCUUCCUUCUUAAUGGUAGGAGGUGCAAGGUGCAAUAGCUUGUACUUUACUUUGGAAGGAAUGUUCUGGCAGGUCCCAAACCAUUCUAAAAAAUUAACCAAUGCAGCUGGCCCCUGAAGCAAUACAGAGUUUAUCUACUCCCCUUUGGAAUGCACAUGUCUUGCCAAGGAAUUCAGAAUACAGGACUUGUCCCUUCCUGCUCCUUAGGUCUAAUCAACAUGGGGUUCAUAUAAUGGGCCACUGUGGUGUUCUGCAGACUGUCCGGGUGGUCUGGGUCACCACCAGCUAUAUUGCAACAGAGCAGAAUUAAUGGAGUCCUGGGGAGAGAUGGUGCAUGUGUAUUGUUGUCUAUCUCAUGUAAAUAAAAACUGCCUCUGAUCCUUCUCUCUGGUGGGUAUUGAAGCCAGAUGGUUACAAAUGUCAUACCAGAGGCUAGAGUGAUCUCUGGCAUAGACCCCACACCCAGCCCAACAGCUGUGAUUGGAAGGGUCUACUGUCGCGGACAUGACCCACCCAGCUUCGGCAAAGGCUGGGCUGGUGAAUUGGAUGGUGUAUUAGUCCGUUUCCAUGCUGCUGAUAAACACAUACCCGAAACUGGGCAACUUACAAAAGAAAGAGGUUUAAUGGACUUACGGUUCCACGUGGCUUGGGAGGCCUCACAAUCAUGGCAGAAAGCAAAGGCACUUCUUACAUGGUGGCGGCAACAGAGGGAAUGACAGCCAAGGGAAAGGGGUUUCCCCUUAUCAAACCAUCAGAUCUCAUGAGACUUAUUCACUACCACGAGAACAGUAUAGGAGAAACCACCCCCGUGAUUCGAUUAUCUCCCACCAGAUCCCUCCCACCACAUAUGGGAAUUAAGGGGGUAAAAUUCAAGAUGAGAUUUGGGCAGGGACACAGAGCCAAACCAUAUCAGAUGGGAAUAUGAUGACAACCACCAUCCCUGUGUUAAAUUAAGUUUAUACAUUGCAAACAAUGCUAUUCACUGUCUCAUAUAAAAAUGAAAUGUAGGCCGGGCGCAAUGGCUCACGCCUGUAAUCCCAGCACUUUGGGACCCGAGGCAGGUGGAUCAAGAGGUCAGGAGAUCGAGACCAUCUUGGCUAACAUGGUAAAACCCCAUCUCCACUAAAAAUACAAAAAAAAUUAACCAGGUGUGGUGGCGGUUGCCUGUAGUCCCAGCUACUGGGGAGGCAGAGGCAGGAGAAUGGUGUCAACCUGGGAGGCGGAGCUUGCAGUGAGCCAUGAUCACGUCACUGCACUCCAGCCUGGGCGACAGAGCGAGACUCAGUCUCAAAUAAAUAAAUAUAAAUAAAUAAAUAAAUAAAAAAUAAAAAUGAAAUGUAGCUCAUUCACACUGCCAAAUCUCUCUCAUAUUCUCCUUAAUAUUUGAUGAUGGCAUGAUUCCGGUUAUUACCUUGACUCAUUUUGAAAUGAUAAAUAAUAUACUUAACUCUCACUUCUUCUUUCCUCAGUUUUGCACAGUAGCUUGAUUCUCCUCCGUGUAAGUUGAUCAGCGUUUCCCUCGUGCAAUUUACUUCAUCUUUUCUCACCUCCAGUUGCACCAUUUCUUCCCAGUUUCUUACUGUGGUAACAAUACUACCACAAAAUUGACCAUCUUAACAUUGUUAAAUGUAGUGUUUAGCAAUACUAAAUACAUUCAUAAUGUCAUGUAACAGUCACCCCAUCUACCUCCAGAAUUCCUCUUUAUCUUUUAAAGCUGAAAUCGUAUAUCAUUAAAUAAUUGCUCCCCAUUUCCUCCUCCCCUCUGCCCCUGAUCAUCACCAUUCUACUUCCUGCCUCUAUGAAUUUGAUACCCUAGGUACCUCAGGUAAGUGAAAUCGUGCAUUAUUUGUUUUUCUGUUACUGCCUUAUUUCACAUAGCAUAAUGUUCUCAAGGUUCAUUCAUAUUGUAACAAAUGUCAGAACUUCCUUUUUAAGGCUGAAUAAAAUUCCAUUUUUAGUAUAUGCCACACACACACACACACACACACACACACACGGAUUAAAAAAAAAAAAAAAACACUUUACCUUCCAGAACCUGAGUUACAACCACUGGGUGGGUCAGAGGACCCAAUGUACCUGCUGUGUGAGAUGAGCCGAGAACUGGAAACUUCAUGUAUUACUUCACCUCAUACACCCUCACCCUAGCAAGGAGCCGUGAAGGCGCUUUGAAUCUCUAGAUGUCAGAAUUAAUUCAGACUCUAAAUCCAACAGCCCCCAAAAGAUCUGGACAUGCUCCUUUUCCAGUGGACUACCUGAAAAAUGGCUCCAGGGCCCUCCAGGAAAGGCCUGGGGAAUCGCUGCAGCUUUUCUCAUGGUGAGAUUACGGCAUCUCAUUGUGGGGACUUGGCUUCUCCAUUCCAUGGGUUCCUGCUCAGGUCUGGAAACUGGCAAAGGACUGUGACUUUCUACCAGUCAAAAGAUAUUAAGAAUGAUGGCCACUCAUUCUUAAAACCUUUUGAUUUUAAAUAUUAAAUAAUACUCUUUUUAAAAAUGUUAUCUUAUUUUAUAAAUAGAGACAAGGUCUUGCUAUGUUACCCAGACUGGUCUUGAACUCCUGGGCUCAAGUGAUCCUUCCAUCUCCCAAAAUGCUGGGGUUACAGGUGUGAGCCACUGCACCUGGCCUAAAUAGUAUUCUUAGUAUUAACUGUUGUAUCAGUCAUUGUUCCACCAUUGAAACAGAAUCCGUAGGAAAUACAUGUCGAGAGAUUUAUUGCAAGGAAUCAGCGUGUGCGAUGGUGGAGGCCGCCUAGGCAAGUCAGGAGGCACAGGCUGGAACUCUGGGGCACAGACCAAAGCUGGCAUCCCCAAGGGAGCUUUUUCUUUAGGAAAGUCUCAUCUCUAUUCUUCAAGCCUCUGAACAGAUCAAAUGAGGCCCACACAGAUUCCCCAGGACAAUCUCCCUUACUUAAGGUAAACCAACGAUGGACUUUCGUCACGUUCACAAAACACCUUCACAGCAGCAACGAGACAACAGUUUGAGUGAAUAACCGGGGACUCCAGCCUGGCCGAGCUGGCAUGUAAACCCCCCAUCACACCUGACCAUCUCUCUUCUGGGAGCACUACGUUCUGCCAUGCAGCUCUCCAGAUUCCUGCAGGCCAGGAGUCUCUGGCUGCCUUUCUGACCUUGCUGUGCAGUACAGGGAUCACACUGACCUUGCUUCUGAUGGUUAAGGGUUGAAUAGUCUCUGCCAGUCCAGCAGCCCAUCACCCCCACUGCUGCCAGGGAGUUAGUUCUGUAACAGCAUCUCCUAUCAUCAUCCACAUUCUAGAGAGAACAGCCUCCACUCCGAUUCUUGGUAGUGUUGGUGUCCGCCCACCCCAUGGAGUGUCCCCUGGGCCCUUCUAAGGAACCCAGCUGACAGGUUUUCCAACAUUCCCCAGUAGACGCAUUCUAGCACAGCCCCUUCCCUGAGCCACUGUCUACCAUGCAGGGUGCAACUAUUCUUCACUUAAUGUGGACUGUUGGCUUUUCCAAGCUUUUUAGGGCCAUCCUAAUGGUGCAUUGAACUUUCCCAGGGUCCUUCUAAGGUGUCAAAUCCUGUGCUACAGUGACAGCCUUCAUGGCAGUAAAUUUCUUAUCCAGCUUUCUUUUCUGUUGUUGGGGAAGAGAAACCUUUCCUUCUACCCUUAUAGGUUUAGCAAAUGAGGGCCUGUGAAUUAAACUGACAAAAGACAGAUUAGCAAGAGAAAAGAGAGAGUAUGUGGGGUGGGGGGGCACCGGUAGUGGGUGCUUGGUGGCUCACACCUGUAAUCCCAGGACUUUGG